rnacentral:lncRNA from 10 species
AGCCGAGAUUACACCACUGCCUGGGCAAUAGAGUGAGACUCCCUCAAAAAAAAAAAAAAAAAGAAGAAUGAUUUCAUCCCAUGCCUUCAAUAACAGAAGGAGGUCGAAGCCCAGUCGGGGGUUGAAACGAACAUAUUGUUACAGUAGAAAGGACACGAGACAGGCGCGCCGCCGGGUUGAGUCUCGCGAACAAAAUGAGGCCAGAGUGCCUUCCCCAGGAUUGCACGUCAGUCAGGAAAACAAAGGCAUUCUCUCUGACCGGUCAAAUCACCGAAGCUUCGGGAUCGUCGUUGGGGGCUGUGACAGGGCUGGCAUGAAACGUCCCCUCGUUCUGGCUGGGCGAUGGGUCAGGAGUUUCAGGCCUUUGAGGCCCGGCCAAACCGCAGGGGGACUCUGCAGCCGGGUCGGGGUUUCGAUCCUGCGCUGCGGUCUUACAACUGCGAAACCUUGGGGGUCGUGGUUCGUUCCUGUGGAAUCCUCCUUCGUGCGUGCAGGAGGAGCCUAGC